AUCCAAAAAAACCCUAAUUUUGAGUCUUCUCCUCUUCUCCUCUUCGACAAAUCCUCUUCGACAAAACCAAAUCCACUCUUCGCCACCGUCAACAUUUCUUCUUCUCUGCCUCUCGUCGGAGCUCGCCGGUGGUUUGUCGGCCUCUACCUCUUCGAGUCUUCAGUCUUCACUUUGAUUCGAGACUCUGUCUCUCUGCCUCGACCUCCCAUUCGCGACUCUGUCUUCUCUCUUUUUUGGUUCUCUUCUUCUUUCGUUGGUGGCUCACCAGAGCUCAUGCUCAUCAAUUGAGAUUUUAAAAUCUCUUAGUAUUGAACAUUUGAACUCUCCAUUUCAAUGGAUCCUGCUGUAAGUUUCUUCUUCACUGUAGUUCACUUUUUGUUGAAAAAUAUCUAAUUAAACUAAGUAGUAGUUGAAUCCUUGAUGAACUGAUUGCCAUGCUCAUUUAUUAUUUUUUUGGUUCAUGCAUGUACCAUAAUAUAUAUAGUAUAUAUGUAGCGCUAGUUGUUUAUAUACGGUGUAUGAAUUUUCAAAUUGAACCCCCCUAAAACUUGAUUUC